UACGGGGGGGGGCAAGCGUUGUUCGGAAUUACUGGGCGUAAAGGGCUCGUAGGCGGCCAACUAAGUCAGACGUGAAAUCCCUCGGCUUAACCGGGGAACUGCGUCUGAUACUGGAUGGCUUGAAUCCGGGAGAGGGAUGCGGAAUUCCAGGUGUAGCGGUGAAAUGCGUAGAUAUCGGUGGGAACGCCAGUGGCGAAAGCGGCAAACUUGACCCUUCCUGACGCUGAUGCGCGAAAGCUAGGGGAGCAAACGGG
rnacentral:rRNA from 1 species